AACGUAGGAGACAAACGUUAUCCGGAGUUACUGGGCGUAAAGGGCGUGUAGGCGGUUUGUUAAGUCUGGCGUGAAAGCUCUCGGCUAAACCGGGAGAGGUCGUUGGAUACUGGCGAACUAGAGGAUGGUAGAGGCGUGUGGAAUUCCGGGUGUAGUGGUGAAAUGCGUAGAGAUCCGGAGGAACACCAGUGGCGAAGGCAAUCCCCUGGACCUGUACUGACGCUCAUGCACGAAAGCGUGGGGAGCAAACAGG
rnacentral:rRNA from 1 species